rnacentral:rRNA from 1 species
UACGUAGGGAGCAAGCGUUGUUCGGAGUUACUGGGCGUAAAGGGUGUGUAGGCGGCCAUGUAGGUCCGGUGUGAAAACUCGAGGCUUAACCUCGAGAUGUCAUCGGAAACCAUUUGGCUAGAGUCCGGAAGAGGAGAGUGGAAUUCCUGGUGUAGCGGUGAAAUGCGCAGAUAUCAGGAAGAGCACCAAUGGCGAAAGCAGCUCUCUGGGACGGUACUGACGCUGAGACGCGAAAGCGUGGGGAGCGAACAGG